AUUGGGUUUAAAGGGUCCCGUAGGCGGGCUAUUAAGUCAGAGGUGAAAGYUUGCAGCUCAACUGUGRAAYUGCCUUUGAUACUGGUAGUCUUGAGUUAUAGUGAAGUGGUUAGAAUAUGUGGUGUAGCGGUGAAAUGCAUAGAUAUCACAUAAGAAUCACCAAUUGCGAAGGCAGAUCACUAACUAUAUACUGACGCUGAUGGACGAAAGCGUGGGGAGCGAACRGGAUUAGAUACCCUGGUAGUCCACGCCGUAAACGAUGGAUACUAGCUGUUGGAUUUUUUCAGUGGCUAAGCGAAAGUGAUAAGUAUCCCACCUGGCG
rnacentral:rRNA from 1 species